rnacentral:rRNA from 1 species
CGUUAAAAUUACAACUCUUAGCAAUGGAUAUCUUGGUUCUCGCAACGAUGAAGAACGCAGCGAAAUGCGAUACGUAAUGCGAAUUGCAGAAUUCAGUGAAUCAUCAAAUCUUUGAACGCAAAUUGCGCUCCUGGGUAGCCCUAGGAGCACGCCUCUCUCAGUAUCGGUUCAACCCUCUCUCAGCAGCGUGUUUGUUAAUUAAACUUCGGUUUCCUUAGUAAAUAUGUGUUGGCUGGAUAAUGAGAGUCUGUGUGCUUGCAUGCAGUCUCUUUAAAUACAUGGAGUGAAGCAUUAACUUUCGAUCAGCGCUGAUUUAAUUUUAUUAUUAUUUUGGCUAGCCAGUCUCUGACUGUUGUUCGAUAGUGACGUGAAUAUUGGCCUUUUGGUCUUCUUUUUACGUGUAUCUAUUGAAUGACAAUUAAGUUAGAUAUUGUGUGAACGUUUGUUAGUUGUUGUUUUACGUGAGAAAACCAUAUGAUUUGUAUUUAAAAGAACUUUAUUGUUUUUUUUGUAUGAGUCUGAAUUUUGAUCUGAGAUGAAGCGAGACAACCCCCUGAAUUUAAGCAUAUUAAUAAGGGGAGGAAAAGAAACUAACAAGGAUUCCCCCAGUAACGGCGAGUGAAGCGGGAAGAGCUCAAUUUGAAAAUCGAUUUCCUAAACGGGACAUCGAGUUGUAGCCUAUAGACGUACUAUCAGUUGAAACCUGGGUAUAAGUUCUUUGGAAUGAGGCAUCAUAGAGGGUGAGAAUCCCGUUUAUGACCCAAAGCUUUCAACGUACGAUGUAUGUUCAUUGAGUCGAGUUGUUUGGGAUUGCAGCUCUAAAUGGGUGGUAAGUUUCAUCUAAAGCUAAAUAUAGGCGAGAGACCGAUAGCGAACAAGUACCGUGAGGGAAAGAUGAAAAGAACUUUGAAAAGAGAGUUAAAAGUACUUGA